AGCUAGUGUGGUAUAGUGGUUUGAGCACUGGACUAUGACUCUGGAGAACCAGAGUUCGAAUCCCUGCUCAGCUA
rnacentral:tRNA from 1 species